CUUUACGGCAGCCCGUCUCCCGUUAGGAGCCGGGGAGGCAAGGUCCAGCGUACGGUCCGGGGGAACCUUAACUGUCGUUUCUGUGCCUGGACAGUAGGUUGGAGAGUGGGGUCUGAAUGAGCUACAGUAGUGAACGCCGACGGCUUGUGUUGAGGGCAGGAAAGGGUGCACACAGCUCCGGCAGGUGCUUCCGCGAGAAAGGUGACUGAUACAACAACGUAGAGGACCCUGCAAUGUGGAGAGGCAUGAAACUGGAGGUCCAGUGCCGUGAGUUAACAAUCAAGACGUCCAUACAGGAGAUGCAUUGGUGGAUGGGUGAAGAGAUGAUAAAACGGAUAAUUCAGUGGUGAUCUUCAGAAGAAUUCCACAAAAAACCAAAUUAACAGAUGAAACAAUCUCAUAAGCCACUUGAAACUGAAUUUCUCUAGAACAAGAGUCUAUAAAAUUUUUUGAUCAAACACCCACUGGAAAAAUUUUUUAGCGUGGACACCCAGUAUUUGAAGUUCUUGGUAAAUUACUGUUUUAGGAAUAAUGUUUCCAAAGGAUCAAGAAGGAAGCAAAACGCUGGGCACAGUGGCUCACACCUGUAAUCCCAAUGCAUUGGGAGGCUAAGCAGGUGGUUAUCACUUGAGCCAAGGAUUUCAAGAGCAGCAUGGGCAACAUGGCAAAACCCCAUUUCUACAAAAAAUAAAAAUAAAAAUAGCCAAGCAUGGUGGUGCAUACCUUUAACUGCUUUGCAUAACUACUCUGGAGGCUGAGGCGGAAGGAUCAUCUGAGUCCAGGAGUUCGAGGUUAUAAUGAGCUGUAAUAGCACCACUGCACUCCAGUCUGGGUGACCAAACAGAACCCCAUCUCUUAAGCAAAACAAACAAACAAAAAAAAAACAGAUCCAAAGCCUGAGCAGUUAGUAGUGUACAGGAAGUUCAGGGUUUCACUGGGGAAGUCAUCCCCAUUUGCACUGCUAAUAGGAAGCAAAUUCUUGGACAGCUUUUGAGGAGGGAAUCUAAACCCCAGGCUCCCAAAUUAGGCCAGAGAUCCUGGAAGGGCUUUCUCAAAUUAUCCCCUUAUAUUCUUCACAGUUUAAGGUCAACCAACUAUGGACUUAAAAUCAAAGAUCACAAAAUGCACGAGGGAAGAAACCACUGUAAGUGAAAAAUACAAACUAGAUUGACCUCCUAGGGACUUUAGUUAUUAAAAUUACCAUAAAGGACAAUAUUUGAAAGGUUUAAGGAAAUAAAGGAUGAAAAAAAUCAAGAAGAGACUGUCUAGAGUAGCCAGAGAGUGCUUCCUUUUUGUUGUAUCUGAACAAUGUCCUAAAGCCAUUAGGCAGCACUAGUGGUAUAGCAGGGCUGGGAGAGGUGGGGAGGGAUGUGCUGGCCAGGCUAGAGGAUCGGAGCCCAAGCAUGUGUUCCAGCUCAUACCCUGUGAGAGGGCUGCCCAGCAAGGCAUGUGAGAGCACCACAGGUUUCAAAGUAUGUCCUGUGGAUUGGCAAAGUGAGGAGGGCAUCCACCCAUGGGGGCAGUUCAACAUGGGGAGUCACACAUGACCGGGUUACUAGGACAUGAUCCUGAGGGAUGGGCCCAAGGUGGAAUUCAGGGCCCUACUGGGAUGAGGUGGGAGUUGCCAAAGAUAAGUAGACUAGAACGGCAGAACACAAGCAUCGUGAGAGUUUUCACACAGGUGGGAGGCAGAGCACAGGGAAUCAGAACUCCAGUUAUAAGGGGACCUACACAGAAGAAGGUGACAACAGAGAUGGCAUGUUGGUUAUGAACAGGGAAAUUGAUCAGAUAUAUAAAUAUAUGAAGGGUGAUGGAGCUAAGUUUCACACUGUGCAAAUAGGGAGUUACUUAUAUGAAGAAAAAGCUAAAAUUAACCCUAUGGUGUGUCACUAGAAUAAAGAAUCAGAGUGAUUGCACUAAUGGUUUUUGAUAAUUGUAUUUCAUUGUAGGAAUAAAUGUAUAUGCAAAUAUGUGUAUGCCUGUUUUUGUAUAACUGUGUGUGUGUGUAUGUGUGUGUGUUUCCUAACUGUCCACCAAGAGUGCCCUGGAGACAGCAGCCCAUCUUGAGCACACCCAGCACCUAGACCUUGGUUUCUAAAUACCACUUUUCAAAAGGAACCAGUAUUACUUGGAAAAACAACUGAUUUCAGAACUGGGGC
rnacentral:lncRNA from 1 species